AACGAACGCUGGCGGCAUGCCUAACACAUGCAAGUCGAACGAGACCUUCGGGUCUAGUGGCGCAUGGGGGCGUAACAGGUGGGAAUCGGCCCUUUGCUUCGGAAUAACAGUUAGAAAUGACUGCUAAUACCGGAUGAGGUCGAAAGACCAAAGAUUUAUCGGCAAAGGAUGAGCCCGCGUAGGAUUAGGUGGUUGGUGGGGUAAACGCUUACCAAGCCGACGAUCCUUAGCUGGUCUGAGAGGAUGAUCAGCCACACUGGGACUGGGACACGGCCCAGACUCCUACGGGAUGCAGCAGUGCGGAAUAUUGCACAAUGGGGGAAAGCCUGAACCAGCAAUGCCGCGUAAGUGCUGAAGGCCGUAGGGUUGUAAAGCUCUUUUACCAGGGAUGAUAAUGACAGUACCUGGAGAAUAAGCUCCGGCUAACUCCGUG
rnacentral:rRNA from 1 species